rnacentral:miRNA from 1 species
UUUGUGACCUGGUCCACUAAC